GCGGUGGAGCAUUGUGGUUUAAUUCGAUGAUACGCGAGAACCUACCGGGUUUGACAUGCAGGUGAUCGCCGUUGUAAGACGGUUUCCUCUUCGGAGGCACCUGCACAGGUGCUGCAUGGCUGUCGUCAGCUCGUGUCGUGAGAUGUUGGGUUAAGUCCCGCAACGAGCGCAACCCUUAUCCCUAGUUGCCAUCAGGUAAAGCUGGGAACUCUGGGGAGACUGCCGGUGAUAAACCGGAGGAAGGCGGGGAUGACGUCAAGUCCUCAUGGCCCUUACAUCCCGGGCUACACACGUGCUACAAUGGCAGGUACAGAGGGCUGCGAAGCCGCGAGGUGGAGCGAAUCCCAGAAAACCUGUCUCAGUCCGGAUCGCAGUCUGCAACUCGACUGCGUGAAGUCGGAAUCGCUAGUAAUCGUGGAUCAGAAUGUCACGGUGAAUACGUUCCCGGGCCUU
rnacentral:rRNA from 1 species